rnacentral:rRNA from 1 species
CACUUUCAGUAGGGAGGAAGGUAGUGUAGUUAAUACCUGCAUUAUUUGACGUUACCUACAGAAGAAGCACCGGCUAACUCCGUGCCAGCAGCCGCGGUAAUACGGAGGGUGCGAGCGUUAAUCGGAAUUACUGGGCGUAAAGCGCAUGCAGGCGGCCUGUUAAGUCAGAUGUGAAAGCCCCGGGGCUUAACCUCGGAAUUGCAUUUGAAACUGGCAGGCUAGAGUCUUGUAGAGGGGGUAGAAUUUCAGGUGUAGCGGUGAAAUGCGUAGAGAUCUGAAGGAAUACCAGUGGCGAAGGCGGCCCCCUGGACAAAGACUGACGCUCAGAUGCGAAAGCGUGGGAGCCAAACAGGAUUAGAUACCCUGGUAG